rnacentral:rRNA from 1 species
AGGACGAACGCUGGCGGCGCGCCUAAUACAUGCAAGUCGAGCGCCCAGUAAUGGGAGCGGCGGACGGGUGCGUAACACGUGGGAACGUACCCUUUGGUUCGGGAUAACUCAGGGAAACUUGAGCUAAUACCGAGUAAGCCCGAGAGGGGAAAGAUUUAUCGCCAAAGGAUCGGCCCGCGUUCGAUUAGCUAGUUGGUGGGGUAAUGGCUCACCAAGGCAACGAUCGAUAGCUGGUUUGAGAGAACGACCAGCCACACUGGGACUGAGACACGGCCCAGACUCCUACGGGAGGCAGCAGUAGGGAAUCUUGGACAAUGGGGGAAACCCUGAUCCAGCCAUGCCGCGUGAGUGAUGAAGGCCUUCGGGUUGUAAAACUCUUUCGCGCACGACGAUAAUGACGGUAGUGCGAGAAGAAGCUCCGGCUAACUUCGUGCCAGCAGCCGC